GGUUACUUAUUAAUAGCACCAUAACCUCGGGAACUGAGGCUAAUAGAGCAUACCACAAUCCAGCUGGAAUGAGGAUUGUGCCAAACGCUCCGGCGCCGAAGGAUGUGGCUGCGGCCGAUUAGGUAGACGGUGGGGUAACGGCCCACCGUGCCAAUAAUCGGUACGGGUCAUGAGAGUGAGAACCCGGAGACGGAAUCUGAGACAAGAUUCCGGGCCCUACGGGGCGCAGCAGGCGCGAAACCUUUACACUGCACGCCAGUGCGAUAAGGGAAACCCAAGUGCGC
rnacentral:rRNA from 1 species